rnacentral:rRNA from 1 species
GACAGAGGGUGCAAACGUUGUUCAGAAUUACUGGGCGUAAAGCGCGUGUAGGCGGCUGUGCAAGUCGGGUGUGAAAGCCCCGGGCUCAACCCGGGAAGUGCAUUCGAUACUGCGCAGCUGGAGUCCCGGAGAGGAUGGUGGAAUUCUCGGUGUAGAGGUGAAAUGCGUAGAUAUCGUUUGGAACGCCAAUGGUGAAAACAGGUAACUGGGAGUGUGCCGACGCUGAGACACGAAAGCUAGGGGAGCGAACGGG